AAAAUGGUAAAAAAUGUCUAAAAAUGGGAUAAAAAUGGGGUUAAAAUGGGGAAAAAAUGGGAAAAAACUGAGAAGGUUUGGAGUUAGAUCGUGGCCUCCAUGUGGGACUCGCUGGGCGAGGAGCAGAAGCAGGUCAGGGGGAAAAAUGGGGAAAAAACAUGAAAAAAUGGGCAAAAAAUUAGAAAAACGGCAAAAAACUGCGAUAAAUGGGGUUAAAAUGGGGAGAAACUCCAGGGUUUUGGGAUGGGAGGUGUCCAAGAUCGUGGCCUCCAUGUGGGACUCGCUGGGCGAGGAGCAGAAGCAGGUGGGA